GCUCGCCGGGCAGCGCAUAGCUCUGCAGAGAGAGCUCCGAGCUGCUCGGUGUCGGCCCUCUUUCUCUAACCUUUAAAGAAGCACUUUCAAUAAUCACCUCAAAUUUGAUGUUGAUUUGGAUUAUUAAAAGGGAAUAUCUCCAGGAAACAACCCGGAUCUGACCGGCUGCCUUUUGCUCAGACUAGAAAAGGAGGAGUUUUGGUGCUGGAUGGAGACCUCUGACUUCGCUGACCGCAACACUUCCAGGUCAGGCGACCAAAAACAUGACAAGCACGUCGUCAACUCCUGUAUGCAACGAAUGUAUUGCAAAAUCUGCUGACAAAAUCCACUGUACUGACUUUUAUAGCUGUCAUUGCUAAUUAAUCAAGGUGAUUGUGAAUGCAAAUUUCUUUUUGAAAACAGCUUUUUUUUUUUUUUUUUACUGUUACUUCAUGACUGAAUGUGAUUGUAAAUGAGUUUGUAAUAUACACAUUAUUGAUUACACAAACUGAACAUCAAUUUAAAAAUCUUUAAAAUAGCAGCCCAGCUCAGUGUUGAAGCAGGACACUCCUGUUGAGAAGCCUGUGCGAUUUGUCUCCUCUAUCUGCAUGCUGUCAGGCUGCUGGCCUCAUCCUCCUCUGUUUGCGACCUUAGUGCUAAAUCAAGUUCAAAGAGGACCACUGGUGUUUGGCAGAUAGUUUUACAUGAGGGGCAGGGGCAGGACCAUUUGUUUGGUCAACCUCUGGCUCCCUCUUUGAUUCGCAGCUAUCUGUGACCCCGUGGCAGAGCGGCACCACUUAAGGCUCUUCAUUCAGGCACAAUGCUCACUGAUAAAAUCAGCACCGGAACUCACUUUACUUUCAGCCACUGAUUUUCCAGCUAUAAUAUUUACUGAAUGUUCAAAUUUAGCAACUUUCAAAAAUAUCCAUACCCUUUGAUAAGUACAUCCAGACAUUUCAAUGUAUUUCAUUCUGACUCUGUAUUAUAGAAUCAAGAACCUGUGCAUAAUUUUACCUGCCAAACAAACUCCAGCUGUGUGUAAUUUGAUUUCCGUAUAAAUACAGUUGUUCUGCGAAGGCCCCAGAUAUUUGUCAGGGAACAUCAGCAACAGCAAGAAGACCAAAGAAACACAACAUAUCAGGGAUAGAGUUGAGGAGAAGUUAAAUUAAAACACAAUAUCUCCUGUACUGAACAACUCAGAGAGCUCUGCCUUAAGUGACGGGCUGGCUGGGAUGCGGUUAUGCCCCGAUCAGCAGGGACAGAAAAGCUGGAUAGAGUUCAUGUGAAAAUAGGCCGAUAAUGAUUAGAGACUAGGGUGGAGAGUAACCUUCACACAGAACACGUAACCAAGACAUACAGCUGGAAUAUAAUCAAGUGGUUUGAAUAUAAAAGCAUAUUACUUUCUCUUUUUUUUUUUUAGAAAAAAAGUGCAGACCCAACUGAAAAAAAUAUAUACUUGAAAAUCUAGCUGACGCUACAAAGCCCUACAUCCAACCUGCUGGAGCUUGAGAUUGGACUAAAGUUUCAGUUUCUAGAUGGGCAAAAAUAUUACAGCUGUAAUUGCAGCACAAAGCUAUUUUAAAAAGCAUUGACUUGAGCGCAAAUAUACUUCUAUCACAUUUUUACGUAACAAAAAUUCGGAAUUCUUCCAUUUCACAGCUAACUUUCCGUUGGUCUGUCACAUAAUCCAAAUAACCCACACUGACAUUUGUGUUUUCUGACAUACCAACAUUUAUUAAAGUUCAGAGGUAUGAAUAGUUUUGAAGGCACUGUUGGAAGACCUCAAGGCUUCAAUAACCACCUCACUUUUAGGUUUAUGCCAGAUUCAGUUGGUUGAUAUUUAUAAAGUGUAUGAAAGAAAAAAUAAAAUAUGGGUUCCUGCACCAAAUUCUCAUGUUAAAAUGCCGUCCCGGUUCUGUUUUGUAAAAAUACACACAGCUAUAACAAAGGCAUCAUCUGUGAUGUGAUAGCAGCAAUUCAGUUUCCAGCCUUGUUCUGCUGUUUCUCAAUCAGUCUGGUGAUACAGAACAUUUUCCAAAGAAAUGCACGUGCCUUUCCCCUGAAGACAACUGAACAAAAUUGGAAACCCGUCAGGAAAAAUAGUCCUGUGUUUGCUUUGCAUUGCAAGUGUGUUAUCACGUUAAAAGAAUAAAUAAUGCAUUGUUAUUUGAUAUGUGUUGCUGUGGGGCAAAACUGAGGCAUUAAUAAAAUUACAUACUGAUUCAAAAGA